rnacentral:lncRNA from 1 species
AGUGUAGUUUCUGGAGCACGAUUUCUGUACUGUUGAAUAUCUUGCAAUAAUUCCGGCAAAAGUAGAUGGGAUGGAUCUUCAUUUGUAUGUGCUUGCUGAAAAGCGGAGGGAAUACUUGCAUAGCUUGGAGGAGGUGAAGGGCCAGCACGCAUGUUAUCAGAAUGUUCCAAGGAAACUGAAUGUUGAGUGUCAGGGUCCAAUGCAAAUGGCCUAGGAAGUGUAGUUUCUGGAGCACGAUUUCUGUACUGUUGAAUAUCUUGCAAUAAUUCCGGCAAAAGUAGAUGGGAUGGAUCUUCAUCUGUAUGUGCUUGCUGAAAAGCGGAGGGAAUACUUGCAUAGCUUGGAGGAGGUGAAGGGCCAGCAAGCAUGUUAUCAGAAUGUUCCAAGGAAACUGAAUGUUGAGUGUCAGGGUCCAAUGCAAAUGGCCUUGGAAGUGUAGUUUCUGGAGCACGAUUUCUGUACUGUUGAAUAUCUUGCAAUAAUUCCGGCAAAAGUAGAUGGGAUAAAUCUUCAUCUGUAUGUGCUUGCUGAAAAGUGGAGGGAAUACUUGCAUAGCUUUGAGCAGGUGAAGGGCCAGCAAGCAUGUUAUCAGAAUGUUCCAAGGAAACUGAAUGUUGAGUGUCAGGGUCCAAUGCAAAUGGCCUAGGAAGUGUAGUUUCUGGAGCAAUGUGGAUGCUAGGCAAAGCUUGAGAAGGUAGCCCAGAUACAGAAAAGGUGUCCUGUCUAACAUCCUGCAUGAAUUCAAAACUAUUUAUGAAAAUGGACGGUGAACCUAGUAUGCUUCAUACUAUUUGUUCUACAUUUUUUUUGGACUUGCAUCGAAGCCUCAGAUUGAACUGCAAUGAUUUGAAACAUUACAACUCAACAUCAAAGCUUUG